GGAGUCAUUACAGGUUGGUCCACAUCUACCUGUCUACUGGAGUCAUUACAGGUUGGUCCACAUCUACCUCCAUACUGGAGUCAUUACAGGUUGGUCCACAUCUACCUGUCUACUGGAGUCAUUACAGGUUGGUCCACAUCUACUGGAGUCAUUACAGGUUGGUCCACAUCUACCUCUCUACUGGAGUCAUUACAGGUUGGUCCACAUCUACCUCCAUACUGGAGUCAUUACAGGUUGGUCCACAUCGACCUCUCUACUGGAGUCAUUACAGGUUGGUCCACAUCUACCUCUCUACUGGAGUCAUUUCAGGUUGGUCCACAUCUACCUCUCUACUGGAGUCAUUACAGGUUGGUCCACAUCUACCUCCCUACUGGAGUCAUUACAGGUUGGUCCACAUCUACCUCUCUACUGGAGUCAUUACAGGUUGGUCCACAUCUACCUGUCUACUGGAGUCAUUACAGGUUGGUCCACAUCUACCUGUCUACUGGAGUCAUUACAGGUUGGUCCACAUCUACCUCUCUACUGGAGUCAUUACAGGUUGGUCCACAUCUACCUCUCUACUGGAGUCAUUACAGGUUGGUCCACAUCUACCUCUC